rnacentral:rRNA from 1 species
UAGGGAAUAUUAGUAAUGGGCGAAAGCCUGAACUAGCAACACCGCGUGUGCGAAGAAGGCCUUCGGGUUGUAAAGCACUUUUUGAGAGGAUGAGGAAGGACGGUACUCUCAGAAUAAGUCUCGGCUAACUACGUGCCAGCAGCCGCGGUAAUACGGAGGGUGCAAGCGUUAUUCGGAAUUACUGGGCGUAAAGCGCGUGUAGGUGGUUCUGUAAGUAGGGCGUGAAAGCUCCUGGCUCAACUGGGAGAGGCCGUUCUAAACUACAGAACUAGAGGAUGGUAGAGGGAGGUGGAAUUCCAGGUGUAGCGGUGGAAUGCGCAGAUAUCUGGAGGAACACCAGUGGCGAAGGCGGCCUCCUGGACCAUUCCUGACACUCAGACACGAAAGCUAGGGUAGCAAACG